UACGGAGGGGGCUAGCGUUGUUCGGAAUUACUGGGCGUAAAGCGCACGUAGGUGGCUUUGUAAGUUUAGAGGUGAAAAGCCCGGGGGCUCAACUCCGGAAUUGCCUUUAAGACUGCAUCGCUUGAAUCCAGGAGAGGUGAGUGGAAUUCCGAGUGUAGAGGUGAAAUUCGUAGAUAUUAGGAAGAACACCAGUGGCGAAGGCGGCUCACUGGUCCGGUACUGACGCUGAGGUGCGAAAGCGUGGGGAGCAAACAGG
rnacentral:rRNA from 1 species